CUACGGAGGGGGCUAGCGUUGUUCGGAAUUACUGGGCGUAAAGCGCACGUAGGCGGAUUAAAAAGUUAGAGGUGAAAUCCCAGGGCUUAACCCUGGAACUGCCUUUAAAACUAGUAGUCUAGAGUUCGAGAGAGGUGAGUGGAAUUCCAAGUGUAGGGGUGAAAUUCGUAGAUAUUUGGCGGAACGCCAGUGGCGAAGGCGGCUCACUGGCUCGAUACUGACGCUGAGGUGCGAAAGCGUGGGGAGCAAACAGGAUUAGAAACCCCAGUAGUCC
rnacentral:rRNA from 1 species